AGUGAACGCUGGCGGUGGGCCUAACACAUGCAAGUCGAACGGCAGCACAGUAAGAGCUUGCUCUUACGGGUGGCGAGUGGCGGACGGGUGAGGAAUACAUCGGAAUCUACUUUUUCGUGGGGGAUAACGUAGGGAAACUUACGCUAAUACCGCAUACGACCUACGGGUGAAAGCAGGGGAUCUUCGGACCUUGCGCGAUUGAAUGAGCCGAUGUCGGAUUAGCUAGUUGGCGGGGUAAAGGCCCACCAAGGCGACGAUCCGUAGCUGAUCUGAGAGGAUGAUCAGCCACACUGGAACUGAGACACGGUCCAGACUCCUACGGGAGGCAGCAGUGGGGAAUAUUGGACAAUGGGCGCAAGCCUGAUCCAGCCAUACCGCGUGGGUGAAGAAGGCCUUCGGGUUGUAAAGCCCUUUUGUUGGGAAAGAAAAGCAGCAGGUUAAUACCCCGCUGUUCUGACGGUACCCAAAGAAUAAGCACCGGCUAACUUCGUG
rnacentral:rRNA from 1 species